CGAACAGGAGAUAACAUGAUUUAUUUAUUUUUAAUCCAAUUAUGCUACGGUGUUUUAAGUGCACUGAAUGCAGUUUUGUUCUCGUAUCUCUUGGAAUUCUUCAGGGCCGGAUUCACGGACGGUUUUUCCCCAAGAUUAACUGAAAAUAAAACACGACGAGGAAAAGCUCCUCGCUCCAUUUGUAAUCCUUUAGUGCGUUCGUUCUUCUCCCCGCCACGUUGCGACUUCCAUAAAGCACAAACUCCAUUACGUUCUCUCACUCGGAUCGGUGAACACGUACGGUGUACAGUAGCGUUCUCGCCUUUUUUGGCCAACCGUGAUUUUUGGGUUCUAGUAGACGAAAAUGGUCGCACAGAAAAAACAGAAAAAAGCAUUGGAGAGUAUCAACUCUCGUCUUGCCCUUGUCAUGAAAUCGGGCAAGUUCGUCUUGGGGUUCAAGCAGACACUGAAGACUCUUCGCCAAGGGAAAGCAAGGCUCAUCAUCAUCGCCAAAAACACCCCUUCAUUAAGGUGAGGCUGAGAAGUAGGUCUAUUUAGACCUAUGGAGUAGUCUCAAAUAUUUAAAAGUGCUGAAGGUUGCUUAGAGCUUGUGAUUCAAAUUCAAAGGAAUCGCAGCCUCAUUGGCUUCAGCGAGGUCAGAAAUCGAGUACUACGCCAUGCUUUCCAAGACAGGAGUCCACCACUACUCCGGAAACAACACAGAGCUGGGUACAGCCUGCGGGAAAUACUUCAGGGUGUGCACACUUUCCAUCACAGACCCUGGAGAUUCCGACAUCAUUAGGUCCAUUCCUAGUGAUGGUGGACCAGCACAG